GAUCAGAAUGCAAUGAAGAAGUGAGUCAUGCAAAUAACUGGAGGGUUAGCCUUGCAGGCAAAUGGAACGGCUAGUGCAAGUGUCCUCAGACGUACGGCUUACUCUGACUCAUGGGCACAUCAGGAAGAGGGGCCUCCCAAAAUUCCAUUCGUUCACCAAAACCCUGAGGUCUGAUUUCAUGCUGUUUACAUCCCUCGGGACACCUCCCCGUCAGGCCCCUCCAGGUGCACUGCUGGGCCGCAAUCCACCCACGGACAGAUGGAGGAGAUGGCAGAAGAGGCCUAUCAAGCAAUUCCGGUUAUUUUUGUCUUCAUUUUCAAUCCAAGUGAGUGCAUUGGAGAUGGGACGAAAAUCUGUUUGGGAAAACAGAACCAUCUGGGAUCACUGGUCAGCGUUCUGAAUAGUAUACAAAGAAGAAAAGAAAAUGUGCUGACUUCGGAUAAAUGGGAAAAUGGUUACUUGGCUUAAUUGCAACCAGUUGAGAGGGUUCUUUUGUCUGCUUUUUUCCCUCAAGUUUUUCUUCAAAUCAGUGUUAUGCAACUGUCCCCAGAGACUCCAGAAAACCCAGCUGAAAUGUCUGUUGUCCUUUGCUGCUACUGCCUCUCCACCCACCCUGGCUUCACAGAGCAGGGUGUUGUAGCCAGUAGGGUUCCUAUGCAUUUAUUUCUGUUACAGGUAGAUGAGGUGCUCAAAGGUGAAUCAUUAAACCCACUUCUUUUUGUAUUUCUCAGAUGCUAAGUAUUUGUUCUCUGAUUCAACAUAUUCAUUAAAUCCAAAUGUUUACUCAACACCCACCAUGUGCCAGGCCCUCUUGAAGGCGCUGGGAAUGCUAAGGCAAAUGAGACACAGAUCUGCCUUCAAAGAGCUCCAGUUUAUUGGGAGAGCAGAGAAAUAUUACUAACACAUGGCUGCAGAGGAGGACAGAGCAUGGAGAAAGGCUUUGAAGAGAGUACCAAACGAUAUGGAGGUGACCUUCCAUGAGGGAGAACAAGAGAGAGGAGCAUGAGUGAGAGGGAACAUGUAAUGGAGAAAAAGCAGCAGCCAGCUGGGUGUUUGUUUGAAAGAAUCAGUCUCUUUGAUGUACGGCUGGCUGAAGGCUCCUGGUGUGUUGGUGUAAAUCGCAGACAACUUUAUCUUGGAAGUAACCAACUUUACCAGGAAGUAACCUCAGUAGGUGGAAGCCUGAAUCAGAAGAACCGUUCUAACCUUGAGAGAUGUGAGAAAGGCUAAGCCAAGAUGGUGAAGCUGACCACUGUGUUUAUACAACACCUUGUCCUGAGAAACCCAUAACAUUUCUCUCCCAUUAAGAUCGGUUCUUUUUAGUAACUAAAAGUCAACAAAAGUUUUGCAGUUUGGGAAAGAAUUCUUCAUGUAUAGAAGAUGUCAUAGUUGGGAAGUCCUGAACCUCUGCUUAUAAUGAAAAACAUGGGAAUCAAAACACUGUGGGGAGCAUGAAGGACCUGGAGCUGUGUAAUUUUGGCCAGAACAGCUAUGACCGCAGCUGGGACACGACGCUGGUGAUAAAACCUUGAAUAUUUAAAAGGAGACUGAGAGAGGAGGAGAAUGAUGAAUGAGCUCAGAAAGACACGAUGGCUUCUGCAAUGGCACUAAUAAAUGGAAUGUAGACUCCAACUCCAGAAUUUGAAAUGGAAACUUAACUACAAGUGAACAAACAAGAAAAAUGAAUGAGACUCCAGAGUCCUGCAAACACUGCUUCACACCCUUCACCUAGAGGCAUCUUCUGGACUUCAGGCCAAGAGGCUGAUACUACACUCUAAGGAAAAUUGACUGCAUUUCAAGUAAUAGCUUACUUGGGUACAGGUCUGAGCACCUCAGCAAUAGAGCUGGGGGCUUUUAUGCCAAGGAUCUUCAGGGCAUAUGAAGGCAAAUACUUUCCAUGUAUUUUCCCAUGAUUUCCUAAGAAACAGAGAUCUGCUGGAAUAGUCCAUGGUGGAAAAUGAAGCACAGGUAUUGUUUUUUUUAAUCAAUAUAUUGAUUGAUCUAUUAAGUGACAACAGCGGUUAAUUUUACAUCAGCUUGACUGGGCUAAGGGAUGCCACAUUGCUUGCAAAAUUCUAUUCCUGUGUGUCUGUGAGGGUGUUUCCAGAAGAGAUUAGCAAUUGAAUUGGUAGACACAGUAAAGAAGAUUGCCUUCACCAGUGUGGGUGGGCAUCAUCCAUUCCAGUGAGGGUCUGAAUAAAACAAAAAAGCUGAAGAAUGGGCAAAUUUGCUCACUUUACUUGAGCUUGGCCAACUCUCUUCUGUCCUCAGACAUCUAUUCUCCUGGCCUUUGGACUUAGACCAGGACUUACACUACCACCUCCCCUGGUUCUCAGACCUUUGGACUUGGAUUGAAUUAUGCUAAGACCUUUCCUUCUCCUGCUUGAGAUGGCAGAUUGUGGGAUUUGUCCUUCACAAUUGCAUGAGCCAAUUCCUAUAACACAUUUCCUUUGAAAUAUACCAAUACAUACCCUAUUUUUUCUGUUUCUCUCGAGAAAAAAUUAAUACAGUGAUCAUUGUUUGAGGCUCUUAUACCUCCAUUUUAGUGGCCCAUUUGUGUAAUGUUGUCUCCCACUGUCUGUUGAUGUCACUUCUCACCACUUAACCUUUGAAGUCCCAUGGUCAAGCCACCAUCACCUCCUUUUUUAAAAAAGAGCUUUGUUGGGGUAUAAUGCACAUACUAUAAAUUCAUCUAUUAAAAGUAUACAUUCAGUAAUUUCUAAGAAAUGUACAGAAUGUACAGAAUUAGCACAGUUUUAGAAUAUCUCCAUCACCCCAAAACAUUUCUUUGUGCCUAUUUGCAGUCAGUUCUGUUCCCACUUUCAAUCCCAGGCAACUACUGCUCUGUUUUCUGUGUCUAUAGAUUUGCCUUUUCUGGGUAUUUCAUUUAAAUCAGUACAUAGUGUUUCAUGUGUGGCUUCUUUCACUGAGCAUGACACUUCUGAGGCUGGGCUAUGCUGCAGCGUGAGUUGGUAGUUGGCUCCUUCUCAUUGCUGAUAGGAUUUCACUGCACGGACAUAACACAUUGGUCUAUCCUUUCACUAGUCAGUGGACAUUUGGAUUGUUCCCAAUUUGGGGCUAUUAUGAACCUUAAUGUAUAAAGUUGUGAACCUUAAUAUAUAAGUCUUUCUAUGCAUAUAUGUUGGAAUUUCUCUUAUGUAGAUAUCUAGAUGUGGAAUUGCUGGAUUGUAAGUGUAUAUUUAUAGGAAGCCAUCAAACUGUUUUCCAAAGUGGCUGUGCUGUUCUCCAUUCCCACAGGUAUGAGGAUUCUUAUUUCUCCACAUUUUCAACACCACUUAUUGUCUGUCUUUUUUUUUCUAGCCAUUGUAGUGGGGGUGGUAGUACCUCAUUGUGGUUUUAAAUUACAUCUCCCUAAUGAUUUAAUGAUGUUGAGCAUCUUUUCAUGCGUGUAUUAUCUCUUCCUAUAUUUUCUUUAGUGAAAAUGUCUUUUCAAGUCUUUUGGCCAUUUAUUUUUAAAUUGGAUUGUCUUCUUGUUCUUGAGUUAUAUGAGUUAUUUAUAUAGUCUGGAUAUGAGUCCUUUAUCAAAAGAUAAUAAUUUAUGAAACUUUCCUCCCAAUUUGUGCCUUGCCUUUUCAUUUUCUUGAUCAUACCUUUUAGAAGAGCAAAAGUUUUGAUUUUGAUAAAGCCCAAUUAUCAAUGUUUUCUUUCAUACAUCAUGCUUUUUCUGUCUUGUACCAGAAAUCUAUGCCUAAUCCAAUGUCCCUAAAUUUUUUUAUGUUUUCUUCUAAAAGUUUUUAAUUACACUUCUACAUUGUCUGUGAUCCAUUCUGAGUUAAUUUUUGUGUAUGGUAGAAAGUUAUUGUCUAUGUACUUUUUAUUUUUAUAUAUUUUUUGCAUAUGAAUACCAACUGUCUCAGCACUAUUAUUUGGAAAGUCUGUCCUCUCCCCCACUGAACUGCCUUGACACAUUUGUCAAAACUCAUUUGACCAUAAAUGUAAGAGCUUACAUCUGGACUCUCAUUUCUGUUUCAUUGAUCUAUGUGAUUAUCCUACGCCAAUACCACAUUGUCUUGAUUACUGUAGCUUUAUGGCAAAUUUGAAAUUGGGUAAUAUAAGGAUUCUUCUUUUUCAAGAUUGUUUCAGCUAUUCUAUGUUUUUUGCAUUUUCUUACGCAUUUUAGAAUAAACUUGUCAAUUUCUACAGAACAGCCUGAUGGCAAUUUUAUAGAGAUUGAAUUAAAUCUAUAGAUCAUUCUGGAGAAAAUUGUCAUCAUAACAAUAUUGAGUCAUUCAUGAACAUGGAAUAUUCUCCAUUUAUUCAGUGGUGUUUUGCAGUUUUUAUGUAUAAGUCCAACCUUACACAUUUUUGUUAAAUUGAUUCCUAAAUAUUUUAUUAUUUUUGAUGCUACUGUGAAUAGAAUUCAUUUUUUAAUCCCGUUUUUGGAUCAUUCCUUGCUAAUAUAUAGAAAUACAAUUGAUUUUUGUACAUUGAUCCUGUAUGCUGUUUAUUCCUUGCUAAACUUGUUUAUUAGUUCUAAUAGAUGUUUUUACAUGUGGAUUUCUUAGGAUUUUCUACAUACAAGAUCAUGUUGUUAGUAAAUAAAAGUAGUUUUACUUUUUCCGUUCCAAUUGGUAUGCCUUUAAUUUUUUUUCUUAACUUAAUAAACUAAUUGGAAUUUCAGUACAAUGUUGAAUAGAAGGAGUAAGAGUGAAUGUUCUUCCCUUAUUCCCAAUGUUAGUGGGAAAACAUUCAGUCUUUCAUUAUACCAUAUGAUACUAGUUACGCAUUAGUUGUAGAUUACUUUUAUCAGGUUAAAGAACUUCCCUUGUAUUCCUAGCUUGUUGAUAGUUUUUAAUCAUGAGUGGUUGCUGGUUUUUGUUAAAUGCUUUUUCUGUGUCUAUUAAGAUAAUCAUAUGGGGUUUAUCUUUCAUUCUAUUAAUAUUGUGCAUGCAUUAAUUGAAUUUUGAGCACUAAACCAGCCUUAUAUAACUCUUCAACAACACUUACUGCCUUUCUUUUUUAUUAUAGCCAUUCUAGUAGGGAGUAGUAGUACAUCAUUUUAGUUUUAAAUUAUAUCUCUCUAAUGAUUUAAUGAUGUUGAACAUCUUUUCAUGUGCUUAUUAUCUCUUGGUGUGGCAUGUAAUUCUUUCUAUAUAUUUUUGGAUUCAGUUUGUUAAAAUUUUAAGGACUUUUGCAUAUAUUUUCAUGGGAGAUAGUGAUCUAUAGUUUUCUUGAGAAAUCUUUGUCUAACUUUUGUAUCAGGGCUCUACUGGGCUCACAGCAUGUGUUUGGAAGUGUUUCCUUAUCCUUUAUUUUUGGUAAGUAAAGAAUUAGAAUUCUUCUUUUCUAAAUAUUUGGUAGAAUUUACCAGUGAAUCUGUCUGGGACUGAAUUUUUUGCUAGAUAAUUUCUAUCAAUUAUUGAGAGUGGAUAUUAAAAAUCUCCACUCACUGUGGGAAGAUUUUAAAUUACUAACUCAAAUUCCUUAUUUAUUUUUAUUUUAUUUUUAUUUUAUUUUUUAUUUUUUUUUAGGAGAGCAAGGUACAGGCUUUUAUUUAGAGAUAAAGUGAAAGGACAGAGCUCCUGGCUCAUGCCAGGAGGGGACAAGAGAGUCCCAAAUUCCUUAUUUAUUAAUGGUCUAUUCAGAUUUUCUGUUUCUUCUUGAGUCAGUUUCAGUAGUUUGUCUCUUUCUACAAAUAUGUCUAUUUCUCAUAAGUUGUCUAAUAUGAUACAAAGUAGUCCAUAAUAUUCACUUAUAAUUCUUAAUUUUUGUAAGGAUGUUAAGAAUUGCCCCUUUUUUACUGAUUUUGAUAAUUUGUGUCUUCCUUUUUCAAUUUUCUGGUCAGUCUAGCCAAAGAUUUAUCAAUUGUGUUGAUCUUUUCAAGCGACUGACUUUGAUUUUUCUCUAUUGUUUUCUGUUUUCUAUUCUAAUCGUUAUUAUUUCCUUUCUUUUGCUUGUUUUGGAUUUAUCAGCUUCUCUAUUUCUAUUUUCUUAUGGUAGAUGUUUAAAUUAUUGAUUUAAGAUUUUUCUUCUGUUCUAAGGUAGGUAUUUAUAGCUAUAUAUUUCCCUCUAAUCACUACUUUGGCUGUAACCCAUAAAUUUUGAUAUGUUGAAUUUUCCUUUCAUUCAACCCAAAAUAUUUUAAAACUUCCCUCUGGUGUUUUUCUUUGACAAAUAGAUUAUUUAGAGUGUUUUGUUUAAUUUCCAAGUAUUUGGUAAUUCCAAAUUUCCUUCUGUUGUUGUCUAAUUUAACUAAUUAUAGUUAGAGAAUAUGCUUUGUAUGAUUUUAAACCUUUUAAAUUAACUAAAACUUGUUUUGUGACCUAAUAUAUGGUCUCUUCUGGAAAAUGUUCCAUGUAUUUGAAAAGAAUGCCUAUUCUUCUCUCAUUGGAUGAAAUGUUUUAUAAAUAUCAGUGAGGUCAAGUGUUAUUUAAGUUUUCUGUAUGCUUGCUGAUUUUCUGUCUAGUUUUUCUAUCAAUUAUUGUGAGUGGAGUAUUAAAAUCUCCAACUGUCAUGUCCGAGCACUACUAUCGCCUCUUGUUUAGGCUAUUAUAAGGGCUUAGCACUCUGCUUUAUUUACCUCCACAGGACUUAUCCUUAUCUGACUCAGUAUAUAUUUUACUUACACACUAGAAUAUACAGCUCCCAUGAUGGCAGGGAUUUCUGCCACUUUUCAUCACUGCAAUAUGCCUAGCAUGUAACAGUGCCUGACACAUAUCGGUCACUCACAAAUAUUUGUUGCAUGGAUAAAUGUAUCACCAAACAGAUGGCACUCACUAUUUUCUUGGGUGAGUACAAAACUCUUCAUUCCCACCACGUGGUGAUCUGAAAAGAGUUAAGACCUUUGGAAUACUGAGAUGGAUUAAAGGCAAAAGGUGGGAAAUAUAAGGGGUACCUAUGCGUUGGGCCAUAUGCAGAAACUAUCCCUUUUCCUUCAUGUUUUCCUUUUGAGUUUAUCUCUCCUUGCAUUUCAUAGUCAUCAAAGCAGUAGACACCUGAGGACCAAGACUGGAUGUAGGUGUUAAGGAACAAGGCCAUUGUUCUUGAUUUUGAUCCAGGCUAUUUGGGUGCCUUCUCCAGGCAAAGGAAUCCCUCUGGCAUCUGGUGGCCUGUGUAGUUCAGUGGGGGUUAAUUCCCAAGCAGAGAGGGUAAGGAGGGGCUAAAACUUCAAAGUAAUAAGCAGAGCGGUUUUCCCUUCCAUAUAUAUAUAUAUAUAUACUUUUCUCUCCUGACCUUUGGGAGGUAGCCUUAGUUGGCUGGUCCAAGAUUGGGUGUUUAUGAUCCCUACUACAUAUAAUUCUCUUAGCAGGACUGACACUGUCUACUCAGGAGUAUAUCCUGAGGUAGCUUUGAAAUGUUAUGUUUAUCCUGGUUUGGAAGGCUGUUUUAUACAACAUCAGGGAAAAAAAGCCAGCAUGUGCUGUUUGUUCAGUGCUUGGCAUAUUAUAUCAAGAUAUUUUACAUGUAUUUAGCAAUUAUAUGUUUUAUAUAUCUAUAUGCUUAAUCAGUUAAAAAUAAAAUAUUAACUGAUAUUUUUCUUUUACUCAUUAAAGUUAGGCCUAAGUUUUGUAAACUGUUCUUAUAGGGUCUUUAAAAUCAGCUGGAGCUCAUAGGAGAGGUCUGGACUGAAGACAAGAAUUUGGGCACCAUAUAUGAAUAUAAAAAUGUAAUAAUUAAAGGUGUUAGGAUCGAUCUGAUCCUCUAACGAGUGAGAAAGGGAGAGAACCUAGGAUGAAACCUUGAGAAUUUAACUUUUAGUAUUCGGUUAGAGGAUGAUAAGCCAGAAAAGGCAGGGAAGGCACGUUUGGAGAGGCCGGAGGGCCUUGUACCCCGGCAGGUGUGUGUACACUUCCUGAAAACAUGCAGUUCCCGUGGCACAUCUUGCUUUGGAGGCGUCUGACUCCUAGUAAAUUGCCUGUCAUUUAAUUACAAAUUUUCAUUAAGUGGAUUAUCCUGAAAUUGUUCUUGACCCUGGAUAAAUAGUUCUCAGUCAGAGGUACCUAGAACCCUGGGUGAUGGAGAGUCUUGUUUACUAAGAUGCUGCAUUUUCAUCAAAAUUAUUUUAUUCCAAUUCUGUGUCCCCUUUUAAGAGUGAUGUAUCCUUUUCUAAUAACCCUAUUAUCCUUCCACAUCUUUUUGGCAUUCUAGUAACAAUCUGAAUAUUUGAUGUCAGUAAAACAUACCAAACAUUGUACAAAUAAAGUUGAAUUAUUAUUGCAGCUUCCCUGGAAAUGAAAUUAUUUCUUGUUUUUGUGUUUAAUGUUUGUGGCAGUAAAAUCCCCAAUGAAUUUUUACUUUAUUACUUUAGAGUCAGUAACAAAUUUAUUUGUAAAAGUACUAUUUUAUUUGGUUCACCCACUCAUUCAUCUAUCCAAUAUAUAUUAAGUGUCUAUUAUUUUCCAGACACUGGGAGUGUUAGGACAACAGGAAUGGUUCUCAAGCUUCAGUGUGCAUUGGAACCACCUGGAAAACUUAUUAAAUAUACAUGUGCUCCAGUGCCACCCCUCAUAUUCAGUAGGUCCCAGGUAGUGCCCAAGAAUCUAUGUUUAGUAAGCUCUCUAUGUGAUUCUGUUGCACAAAAAGUUUUAGAACUAUUGGUCUUUGUAAAAACAUUCAUUGAAAAACUUAAAUGUAAUACAAUAUAAGAGGUGUCAGAUAGACGCACAUACAGGGUAGGGUGUAUAUUAAAUUUUACCAUAUUCAUAUCUUACCAUAACAGUAGAGUGUAUACUCAAUAAUAUCAUUGUAAUUUUCAACUGUAAUGGAAUUUUUUGGUAGGGCUUUACAGCACUAGCGGUAUGAUUUA